rnacentral:rRNA from 2 species
UGGGGAAUAUUGCGCAAUGGGGGAAACCCUGACGCAGCAACGCCGCGUGAAGGAUGAAGGUUUUCGGAUCGUAAACCUCUGUCUUCAGGGACGAUAAUGACGGUACCUCAAAAACAAGCCACGGCUAACUACGUGCCAGCAGCCGCGGUAAUACGUAGGUGGCGAGCGUUGUCCGGAAUUACUGGGUGUAAAGGGCGUGUAGGCGGGAAAGCAAGUCAGAUGUGAAAUACCGGGGCUUAACUCCGGGGCUGCAUCUGAAACUGUUUUUCUUGAGUGUCGGAGAGGAAAGCGGAAUUCCUAGUGUAGCGGUGAAAUGCGUAGAUAUUAGGAGGAACACCAGUGGCGAAGGCGGCUUUCUGGACGACAACUGACGCUGAGGCGCGAAAGCGUGGGGAGCAAACAGG